UCCUUCCAAACCUCUGUGUACUCUAACCACCAAGCUCACCCUGUCCAUGUGCUCCACCUUCCCGACCAUAGUCACCUGUUACACCUCCAACCCUAUCUUUUUCUUAUUCGAUCUUGUCAACAACAGUGUUUUAUUAUUCAAAAAGUAAGAGGAAGAUGGAUAUAAUUGAGCAUGGAAUUUCAUAUCAAUCUGUGAAGUCUAAACCAGUAAAAGGAAGUGUCAUACCGAAGACAGGGAGUGGUCAAGAGGAAGUGGUUCAAUUUUGAUUAGACAACUAGUACCUGGGCAGCUGCGAUACAAGCCGAGAAGGCAAGGAAUAAGAGAGGAGCAAAUCUGGUUGUUGUCACAGCUCCCAGCUCUAUACCAGUGGAUUUAAAACAAUUACUGCAUACACCAAAGAGUACAAGGAAGAGAGAAAAAAAAAGAUUUAUCUGUUUCUACUUCAGAUUGUUAUUGGAGGAAUAAACUAUAUUCUUAUAGGGUCACGGCUAUUCCCAAGAGAAAGCUUUAAUCGAACACGUGCCCUAGUCUAAUUGGCACCUAUUCUAACCCACAGUGUCAUAAUGACGUGAUAAACCUAGGUAAAAUGGCAUUUUGGUUAAUUAAAGUGCUUUAACGAAAAAAGAAAAAAAAAAUAUUUCCUUCUCUUACUUGCGCGGGAGAAAGACUGGAAGAGGCGAAAUAGAGAAACCCUAGGGAAGAAGGCGUAUUUGAAACUCAACGUUCGACAAGCAACGCACGUGCACUCCACUUGUAGCCUAUUAGAGAACCUACUCAUUCCCUACCUCCACAUACAACAAAUAGCAUCGUUUGACUCCGCGAAAGAUUUGCAAUCACUAAAGCAUGGGCAUCCAAAAGUCGAGUUCUAGAUCGCUCCGCGACCGAGACCCUUUGGGCGAAGAUACAUAACAAAUUUAGCCAAUAUUAUGGGAACCCGAAAAGAAAAAGUGUUCAACAAAUCAAGGAUAGGCACAACAUCAUCCUAGAUGCGGUACCUGGGUUUUUUAAAAUCAAACACCGGAUCUGGCACGCAAGCCACCUGAGCUUGUCCCAUCUACAACUUGUAUGUAUCUUUAUGGUUUAUUAGACACAAUACUUUUUUCAAUUUAUAUGUAACCAAAUAAGUUUGUGUGUUGUUUUUGUAUCACGAAGCCGUUAAAGCGUGCUACUUAGAGGAAAAAGGGGAAGCAUUCACAUUUGAUGAAAUCAUUUACUUCA